rnacentral:rRNA from 1 species
CCAGACUCCUACGGGAGGCAGCAGUGGGGAAUAUUGCACAAUGGGGGAAACCCUGAUGCAGCGACGCCGCGUGAGUGAAGAAGUAUUUCGGUAUGUAAAGCUCUAUCAGCAGGGAAGAAAAUGACGGUACCUGAGUAAGAAGCCCCGGCUAACUACGUGCCAGCAGCCGCGGUAAUACGUAGGGGGCAAGCGUUAUCCGGAAUUACUGGGUGUAAAGGGAGCGUAGACGGUGAAGUAAGUCUGGAGUGAAAGGCGGGGGCCCAACCCCCGGACUGCUCUGGAAACUAUUUGACUGGAGUGCAGGAGAGGUAAGCGGAAUUCCUAGUGUAGCGGUGAAAUGCGUAGAUAUUAGGAGGAACACCAGUGGCGAAGGCGGCUUACUGGACAGUAACUGACGUUGAGGCUCGAAGGCGUGGGGAGCAAACAGGAUUAGAUACCCCUGUAAUU